UACGUAGGGCGCAAGCGUUGUCCGGAAUUAUUGGGCGUAAAGAGCUCGUAGGCGGCUUGUCACGUCGGGUGUGAAAGCCCGGGGCUCAACCUCAGGCCUGCAGUCGAUACGGGCGGACUUGAGUACUGCAGGGGAGACUGGAAUUCCUGGUGUAGCGGUGAAAUGCGCAGAUAUCAGGAGGAACACCGGUGGCGAAGGCGGGUCUCUGGGCAGUAACUGACGCUGAGGAGCGAAAGCGUGGGGAGCGAACAGG
rnacentral:rRNA from 1 species